rnacentral:rRNA from 1 species
GACGGAAGGUGCAAGCGUUGCUCGGAAUCACUGGGCGUAAAGCGCGCGCAGGCGGUCCUUUAAGUCUGAUGUGAAAGCCCACGGCUCAACCGUGGAGGGUCAUUGGAAACUGGGGGACUUGAGUACAGAAGAGAAGAGUGGAAUUCCACGUGUAGCGGUGAAAUGCGUAGAGAUGUGGAGGAACACCAGUGGCGAAGGCGACUCUUUGGUCUGUAACUGACGCUGAGGCGCGAAAGCGUGGGGAGCAAACAGG